UGGAAUCACAUAAACAUAGACUGAAGGAUCC
rnacentral:piRNA from 1 species